GACGGAGGGUGCAAGCGUUGCUCGGAAUUACUGGGCGUAAAGGGCGCGUAGGCGGACAGUUUAGUCAGAGGUGAAAGCCCAGGGCUCAACCUUGGAAUUGCCUUUGAUACUGGCUGUCUUGAGUUCGGGAGAGGUGAGUGGAAUGCCGAGUGUAGAGGUGAAAUUCGUAGAUAUUCGGCGGAACACCAGUGGCGAAGGCGACUCACUGGCCCGAUACUGACGCUGAGGCGCGAAAGCGUGGGGAGCAAACAGG
rnacentral:rRNA from 1 species